GAUGAACGCUGGCGGCGUGCCUAACACAUGCAAGUCGAGCGAAGCGCUUAAAUUAGAUUUCUUCGGAAUGACGAUUUUUGUGACUGAGCGGCGGACGGGUGAGUAACGCGUGGGUAACCUGCCUCAUACAGGGGGAUAACAGUUAGAAAUGACUGCUAAUACCGCAUAAGACCCCAGCUUCGCAUGAAGCGGUGGUAAAAACUCCGGUGGUAUGAGCUGGACCCGCGUCUGAUUAGCUAGUUGGUAAGGUAACGGCUUACCAAGGCGACGAUCAGUAGCCGACCUGUGAGGGUGCCCGGCAACAUUGGGACUGGUACACGGCCCAGACUCCUACGGGAGGCAGCAGUUGGGAAUAUUGCACAAUGGGGGAAACCCUGAUGCAGCGACGCCGCGAGAAGGAUGAAGUAUUUCGGUAUGUAAACUUCUAUCAGCAGGGAAGAAAGUGACGGUACCUGACGAAGAAGCCCCGGCUAACUACGU
rnacentral:rRNA from 1 species